rnacentral:rRNA from 1 species
ACUGCUCAGUAACACGUGGACAACCUACCCUCAGAUCUGGGAUAAACCUGGGAAACUGGGUAUAAUACCGGAUAAACCUUGGAUGCUGGAAUGCACCGAGGUUCAAAGCUCCGGCGUCUGAGGAUGGGUCUGCGGCCUAUCAGGGUAGUAGUGGGUGUAAAGUACCUACUAGCCUACGACGGGUACGGGUUGUGAGAGCAAGAGCCCGGAGAUGGAUUCUGAGACACGAAUCCAGGCCCUACGGGGUGCAGCAGGCGCGAAAACUUUACAAUGCUGGCAACAGCGAUAAGGGGACCUUGAGUGCCAGGAUACAAUCUUGGCUGUCGUCGUGUCUAAAAAACACGAUAUAGCAAGGGCCGGGCAAGACCGGUGCCAGCCGCCGCGGUAACACCGGCGGCUCGAGUGGUAACCGCUAUUAUUGGGUCUAAAGGGUCUGUAGCCGGCUUGGUAAGUCUCUUGGGAAAUCCGGCAGCUCAACUGUCGGGCUUUCAGGAGAUACUGCCAGGCUCGAGACCGGGAGAGGUGAGAGGUACCUCAUGGGUAGGGGUGAAAUCUUGUAAUCCCUGUGGGACCACCUGUGGCGAAGGCGUCUUACCAGAACGGGUUCGACGGUGAGGGACGAAAGCUGGGGGCACGAACCGGAUUAGAUACCCGGGUAGUCCCAGCCGUAAACGAUGCUCGCUAGGUGUCAGGCAUGGCGCGACCGUGUCUGGUGCCGCAGGGAAGCCGUGAAGCGAGCCACCUGGGAAGUACGGCCGCAAGGCUGAAACUUAAAGGAAUUGGCGGGGGAGCA